AUUGAACGCUGGCGGCAGGCUUAACACAUGCAAGUCGAGCGGUAACAGGGGUGCUUGCACCCGCUGACGAGCGGCGAACGGGUGAGUAACGCGUAGGAAUCUACCUAAUAGAGGGGGAUAGCCCGGGGAAACUCGGAUUAAUACCGCAUACGCCCUACGGGGGAAAGCAGGGGAUCUUCGGACCUUGCGCUAUUAGAUGAGCCUGCGUCGGAUUAGCUAGUUGGUGAGGUAAAGGCUCACCAAGGCGACGAUCCGUAGCUGGUCUGAGAGGAUGAUCAGCCACACUGGAACUGAGACACGGUCCAGACUCCUACGGGAGGCAGCAGUGGGGAAUAUUGGACAAUGGGGGCAACCCUGAUCCAGCCAUGCCGCGUGUGUGAAGAAGGCC
rnacentral:rRNA from 1 species